GCCACUUUAUUGAGGGAGAGCAGGGACUUAAAUAGGGUAGGUCUGAGGGGAGGAUUCUGAACUGGGGAGGAGCUUGAGACUGACAACUCAGGGAGAAGACAGAAUUGAGGAAACA